GUCAAUUGUUGAAAGAAAAAGUGGACAAAUAUAAAAAGGAAAGAAAGGAGAGUGUGGAGAUGGAGGACUACCUCAAGAACUUUUUAGACAAUGAGGUCAAGCCACUGUGGCCAAAAGGUUGGAUGCAGUCCAGAGUGCUGAUAAGGGAGAGCAAGAAAAUGAUAGGUGGCUUUACGUCCUUACCACGAAAAAAGGCCAAGUCUGAGAAGAGGCAGUCCUCCAUCAACAGUGCUUCCACUUUAUCAGACGGCUGCCACGGUCUUCAGAGAGCUUCAUCACUCUCAGGGGAACCCAGCCGAGGAACGGAU